rnacentral:lncRNA from 1 species
CCCAUCGACGUCUUGAGCGGCUGAGAGCCUUGAUCCAAGACCAAGUGCAGUUCGCAAUCCGUAGAAAUCGCUUCAAUCGAAAGUCGCACAAUCGUCAAUAAAGACAUUGCUCAACGACUCCUUAAAGGUUUGAGGAUGGAAGAAGAUUGAUCACCGGACUGGAGACGAGAUAUAAAAGCAGAAGAGGUCAAGUGGAAGGUAGCCAACUGCAAGAC